UAGCUCAGUUGGUAGAGCAGCGGACUUUUAAUCCGUUGGUCCCGCGUUCGAGUCGC
rnacentral:tRNA from 1 species